AAAAGUGGUCAAAGGAGCAGGGAAAACAAAGUACAUCCCAGCAGAUGAAGGAAAAAGAGCUAUGGAAAAAGAUGAAGGAAAAUGAGCUGGAACAAGUGAACCUGCCAGAGGUGUAUGAGAAGUACUUGGAAAAAAGCUGAGGUCAUUCUAGACAAGGCAACAGCCAGCAGACCCCAAAACAUGUGAGAGAACACAGCCAAGAUCAGUUCAUCUCAGCCCAGAUCAGCCCAGUACAUAAUGCCAACUAAUAUAUAGAUUUGUGAGGAAUAAUAAAAGGUGGUUGUUUUAAAC